GACGUAGGGGGCAAGCGUUGUCCGGAAUCAUUGGGCGUAAAGCGCUCGUAGGUGGAUCGGUAAGUCUGCAAAGAAAGACCCGGGCUCAACUCGGGGAACGGUGUGGAUACUACCGAUCUUGAGGCAAUCAGAGGAUGAUGGAAUUCCCGGUGUAGCGGUGAAAUGCGUAGAUAUCGUCUGGAACGCCGAAGGUGAAAACAGCUCGCUGGGGCUGCGCUGACGCUGAGACACGAAAGCCAGGGGAGCGAACGGG
rnacentral:rRNA from 1 species